UACGGAGGGUGCAAGCGUUAAUCGGAAUUACUGGGCGUAAAGCGUGCGCAGGCGGUUUGUUAAGUCCGUUGUGAAAGCCCCGGGCUCAACCUGGGAAUUGCAUUGGAUACUGGCGGGCUAGAGUGCGGUAGAGGGUAGUGGAAUUCCCGGUGUAGCAGUGAAAUGCGUAGAGAUCGGGAGGAACAUCUGUGGCGAAGGCGACUGCCUGGACCAGCACUGACACUGAGGCACGAAAGCGUGGGGAGCAAACAGG
rnacentral:rRNA from 1 species